GUGGGAGGAGCCAGUGAACCCUGCACCCGCCCCUCAGAGGUCAAGGCGCAGGACCGGAAGUAUAAAAGCCCGACCCCAGAGCUCAGUUGAAACACAGCCACUGGAGAGGCCAGAUGCAUGUGGUAGAGCUCCCAGCUGGGAGACCAUGGCAAUCAGUGGCUGACCCAAGGACUGGCCAGACCAGCCAAUGCCUGAUGCUAGCCAGAGAUGUUGCCAAGCUUGCUGUUUGCCAGUUACCCUGAGGAGCCGCCAAGCCAACUGAGCGCCAGUUACCCCGAGGAGCCCAUGGUGUGUGACCCCCUUGGAGGAUGCUGGCCGGACCCAGUUGCAGCUUCGGCAAAGGCCUCUAGGAAGGGACCUAUAUAGGAGUGAAGAAGAGAGACCAAGGUGGAAUCCUUAUCAGAAUCCUCUUGCUCAGGUUUGCCAAGGAAAAGUGGAGCGCCUGGAGAGAUCUGAAGUGAAACAAUUGGUACUGGGUAAAGUUCAGGUGAUCUGGAUGUUAAGUACUGACAGCACAUUGGAGCCAAGGAGCAGCGUCAGGAGUCUGAGCAAUAUUUUCUGCAGUGCAAGUUGAUAUGUAACAAAAAAUGAUUAAAACACCGGAUGUUCAUCUUCUGCCCCAGAUGACUUGUCAGAAGAUCCUCCUACACAGAACACGUACAAACAGGAGCCAUUAGGCUUAACAAUGGCCUUCACUUUUUGUGUAAAUUAACCAGUAUCUGUUGCCUUCUUCCCUUUUACCAUUUAAAGCAAGAACAGCUCCUAAGAAUGUGAUGAUGUAUAAACGGCAGAAGAUGAAAGCAGUUCCUGUGUAGAGACUGAAAGGGAGUCAUGAUCCCUACGUAAAAGGCUAAAACAUCAGUGAGAGUGGUGAUUGUGAUAGACACUGCUGUUAGUGUGACUGAAGGCUCCCUAUGUACUGGUACCAAGCAUAGGACUGUUUGAUUAGAGGGUAAGAGUCUAAUAAACCCCAUAGAAUGCCACCAUGUGGUCUGAAAUGAGUGCCAAGGCCAAGGCUUAUGUUCUCCCUUUUGAUAUGAACACUUAAUUAUCAUUAUUGUUAAUGAGUUAGAGGCACAUUACAAAUACAUCUUAGUAGCCCAUGCUAUACCUCAGUUUGUCUAAACAGCUAAAUAAAAUUUAUAUUGCUGAUAUUUACAUGUAAUUCCAGUACCAAAUUAUGGGUUUGGACAGCACUUACUAUGAGUUCUUGGUCCAGGACUAGGGCUCCUAGGCAGGGCUUUAAUACAUUUAUUUAUUAAUAGGACCUGAUCAUUCUCCCUGGAAUUCAUGAAGGGGAAGGGGUGUCCUUCAAGUGCAAUUUCCCAUCUCCAAUCAGCUGUGUUGCAAGGAUGAGAUGA